AUACGGCCCAUAUUCCUACGGGAAGCAGCAGUGAGGAAUUUUUCACAAUGGACGAAAGCCUGAUGGAGCAAUACCACGUGAACGAUGAAGAUCUUCUGAUUGUAAAGUUCUUUUAUUUAGGAAAAAAAGCUUGAUAGGAAAUGAUUAAGCCUUGAUCGUACUAAAUGAAUAAGUGACAGCUAACUAUGUGCCAGCAGCUGCGGUAAAACAUAGGUCACGAGCAUUAUCCGGAUUUAUUGGGCGUAAAGGAAGCGUAGGCGGACAAGUUGAUCUAUUGUGAAAAGCACUUGCUCAACAAGUUGUUUGUGAUAGAUAUCGCUUGUCUAGAAUUAGUUAGGAGAUACUGGAAUUCAAUGUGUAGCGGUGGAAUGCGUAGAUAUAUUGAGGAACACCAGAGGCUAAGGCGAGUAUCUAGAACAUAAUUGACGCUGAGGCUUGAAAGCGUGGGGAGCAAAUGGGAUUAGAUACCCCAGUAGUCCACGCCAUAAACGAUGGGUAUUAGGUAUUUGAUAUAAGAUUGAGUGCUGUAGCUAACGCGUUAAAUACCCCGCCUGGGUAGUAUAUAUGCAAAUAUGAAACUCAAAGAAAUUGACGGGGACCUGAACAAGUGGUGGAGCA
rnacentral:rRNA from 1 species